CCUACGGGAGGCUGCAGUGAGGAAUAUUGGUCAAUGGACGAGAGUCUGAACCAGCCAAGUAGCGUGAAGGAUGACUGCCCUAUGGGUUGUAAACUUCUUUUAUAAAGGAAUAAAACGAGGCACGUAUGCCUUUUUGCAUUUAUUUUAUGAAUAAGGAUCGGCUAACCCCGUGCCAGCAGCCGCGGUAAUACGGAGGAUCCGAGCGUUAUCCGGAUUUAUUGGGUUGAAAGGGAGCGCAGAUGGGUUGUUAAGUCAGUUGUGAAAGUUUGCGGCUCAACUGUAAAAUUGCAAUUGAUACUGGCAGUCUAGAGUACAGUUGAGGUAGGCGGAAUUCGUGGUGUAGCGGUGAAAUGCUUAGAUAUCACGAAGAACCCCGAUUGCGAAGGCAGCUUACUAAACUGUGACUGACAUUGAUGCUCGAAAGUGUGGGUAUCAAACAGGAUUAGAUACCCUAGUAGUC
rnacentral:rRNA from 1 species